rnacentral:rRNA from 1 species
UACGAAGGGGGCUAGCGUUGCUCGGAAUCACUGGGCGUAAAGGGUGCGUAGGCGGGUCUUUAAGUCAGGGGUGAAAUCCUGGAGCUCAACUCCAGAACUGCCUUUGAUACUGAGGAUCUUGAGUUCGGGAGAGGUGAGUGGAACUGCGAGUGUAGAGGUGAAAUUCGUAGAUAUUCGGAAGAACACCAGUGGCGAAGGCGGACUCACUGGACCGGUAUUGACGCUGAGGUGCGAAAGCGUGGGGAGCAAACAGG